rnacentral:tRNA from 1 species
GUCUCUGUUGCACAACCAGUUAGCAUGAUUGGCUGUUAACCAAAAGGCUGCUGGUUUGAGCCCACCCAGGGACA